UACGAAGGGGGCUAGCGUUGUUCGGAAUUACUGGGCGUAAAGCGCACGUAGGCGGACAUUUAAGUCAGGGGUGAAAUCCCAGAGCUCAACUCUGGAACUGCCUUUGAUACUGGGUGUCUUGAGUAUGGAAGAGGUGAGUGGAAUUCCGAGUGUAGAGGUGAAAUUCGUAGAUAUUCGGAGGAACACCAGUGGCGAAGGCGGCUCACUGGACCGGGAACUGACGCUGAGGCGCGAAAGCGUGGGGAGCAAACAGG
rnacentral:rRNA from 1 species